rnacentral:ncRNA from 1 species
UUGAGCCGUAUGCAGGGAAACUUGCACGUACGGUUCUUAGGGGAGGCUGCAGCGGCAACGCUGUGGGAGGUGUCAGGAAUAGUGAGCAACUGUCUUAC